rnacentral:rRNA from 1 species
CCAAUUUCUAAUAAUGCCUUCAAUGUAUUUAACUGGCUUUGAUGUACCAGUUUUAUCUUUGACGUAUUCAUAUGCGCAAAGUAUCAUAUCGGGGCUCAUAUUGUAUUUAUUCAUUAUAUCCAUAAUACUCAUCUUUUCACUUGGGUCGAGAUAUCGCCCAACUAUUUUAUUUAUAGAAUUAAACAUUUUUCUAAUACUUGGAUUUUCAGAAGUAGAUACAACCUUAUCUGUAUUAGAUUUUAUAGAUGAAUUAUUGCUUAAUAUAUUCUCAAUAUAGAAAUUUUUUAAAUCUAAAAAUUCUAUUGAAUAAUUAAAAUUAUCAUAUUCUCCAUUGUCAUGUAUUUUUAUAAUCUUCUUUUCUUCCCAGAAUUUCCAAGCAGAUAACACAUCAGACAAUGGUAUAUUUAGGUUUUUGGCUAUUGAAUUAUUGUCGAACUUAGGAUUAGAAGUAAUAUCACAUGCUUGUCUAUAUCCUAAAAGAUAAACUUUUACGUAUAACCCGUCCGCCAUUGGCAUAAAUAUAUCUAUAAAGAUAUUGGGAAUAGUGAUUUCACCUAAAUCUAUUUCAUUGCUUUCUUUAAAAAACAUUUUAUCACCUCAGAUUAAAUUAUAUCAUUUUUUAUAUUAUAUUUGUCUGUAAACAAAUAAAAGGUCACAAGAUUAGCAUGUAAAUAUUUUCUAAAAGUAUUCAUUUUGAAAAGGAGGAGAUAUUUUGGUUAUAAAAUUCAACCAAAAAGUAAGAAGAACAUUAUCAGUAGCGAUUCUAUUUAUGGUAUUAAUAAUAGGUUGCUUUAUAGAAAAGGAUGACAGUUUAGAAACAUACAAAGAAAAAACUAAUUCAAAAAUAAAUCAGUAUAAUAUGGAUGUUAUAUUUGAUGAUGAGACUAAGAGGUUAAUGUGCAAUCAGAAUGUUGACUACAUAAAUAAUACAAAAUCAAACAUAGAUAAAAUAUAUUUCCAUAUAUAUCCGAAUGCUUUUUCCAAGAAAGAUUUUGCUCCUUUUGAAAAAAGUGAAAUGACAAGGGCUUAUCCUAAUGGAUUUAACGAAGGAUAUAUAGAUAUAAAGAAUAUAUUAAAUAAUAAUAGUAAAAUGGAGUAUAAAAUUAAAGGAGACAAAAAUGACAUAUUAGAAAUAGAAUUAGGGAAAGAGUUAAAACCAAAUGAAAGAAUGUCAUUAGAUAUAAAAUAUAACGUAAAAAUACCAAAUUCAAUUGGAAGAUUUGGAUAUGGAGAAAAUACUAUAAAUGUUACUAAUUGGUUUCCUAUAGCUUGUGUAAAUGAUGAAAGGGGAUGGAAUUUAAAGAGUUAUGAAACUAUUGGCGACCCAUUUUAUAGUGAGACUAGCGAUUUUCAUGUGAAACUAUUGAUUCCAAAUAAAUAUAAAAUUGCUCAUACAGGAAAACUUAUUGAUGAUAAACAUGAUAAUAAGAAAAUGCUAUAUGAAAUAGAAGCUGAAAACGUUAGAGAUUUUGCAUUUAUACUAAGUAGUAAAUUUGAUGUAAACAAAGUAGAUUCAAAGGGAGUAGCUAUCAAUACAUAUAAUUUAAAUAAAAAGCUUUCUAAAAAAGCAACUGAAGUGGCAAAAGAUUCAAUAAAUAUAUUUAGUGAAUUAUUUGGAAAGUAUCCUUACAAAGAAUUUUCUGUUGUAGCAAGUGACUUUUUUAUAGGGGGGAUGGAAUACCCUAUGCUUGUUAUGAUAGACCAAAGUUUAUAUAAUGAAAAAAAUGAAUUUUUACUAGAAUAUGUUAUUGCCCAUGAGACAGCACAUCAAUGGUGGUAUUCUGCUGUUGGAAAUGAUGAAAUAAGUGAACCCUGGUUAGAUGAAGCACUUACUGAAUAUUCUACAAUAGUUUAUUUUGAACAAAAGUAUGGUAAAGAUAUGGCAAACAAGCUUAUAAAAACUAUGGAGAUACAGACAAAAAGUUAUUUGAGUGAAAAUAUAUUUAAGCCAGCAAAUGAGUAUAAAAAUUCUACUGAAUACAGCUUGAAUGUUUAUACAAAAGGCGCAAUAGCAUUUAAUGAAAUAAGAAAAGAAGUUGGAGAUAAAGUAUUCUUUGAGACUUUAAAUGAAUACUAUAAUAAAUAUAAGCAUAAAAAUGCUAAUGGAAGAGCUUUUGUGGAACUAUGGAAUAGUAAAGGUGUAGAUAUAAAUAAGAUUAUAAGUGAAUGUAAGUAAAUAGUGAAUGUAAGUAAAUUUUGUGCAGAGUAUUAAAUUUUAUUUAAUACUCUGUUUUUUUGGUAUAAUAUAAUUUAUAAGGCAGAAAAAGAGGUGAAGGAAUGCUAAAGUAUUGUUCAGUAGGGAGUGGUAGUAGUGGGAAUUGCCACUAUAUAGGGUAUAAAAAUACUAAUAUACUAGUAGAUGCAGGAUUAAGUGGCAAGAGAAUAACUACAGGUCUUAAAGACAUUGGUGUAGAUGCAGAUAAAUUAAAAGGAAUAUUUAUAACACAUGAGCAUGUUGACCAUAUAAAAGGAGCAGGUAUAUUAUCCAGAAAGUUCGAUAUACCAGUAUUUGCUAAUAUAAAAACAUGGUGUUCUAUGAAGGACAAAUUAGGUGACAUCAAAGAUAAAAAUAUGAAAGUAUUUGAAAAUGAUAAAACCUACUCAUUAGGUGAUAUCAUAGUGAGACCUUUUUCAAUAGAACAUGAUGCGUCUGAUCCAGUUGGAUAUAAUUUUUAUACAGAGAGUGAUGAAAAAAUGUCUAUAGCUACUGAUAUAGGAUGUAUAACUCAAAAUAUAAAAAAACAUCUAUAUAAAUCUAAAUUAGUAGUAUUGGAAUCAAAUUAUGACCCUAAUAUGCUUAUGAUGGGUUCAUAUACAUAUGCUUUAAAGAAAAGAGUAAUGUCAAGUACUGGUCAUUUAUCCAAUGAAGAUGCAGCUAAUUUCUGCGUUGAACUUAUUAAUGAAGGUACAGAAUCUAUAUUAUUAGCACAUUUAAGUAAAGAAAAUAAUUUUCCUGAGUUAGCAUAUGAGACUUCAAAAGGAGUAUUAGCAUCAAAUGAUAUAGUAGUUGGACAAGAUGUAAAACUAGAUGUACUAUCACGAAAUGAUGUUUCUAAUGUUUAUGAGAUGAAGUAGAGGUGAAUAACUUUGCUAAAGAGAAAUUUUGAAAAUGUUGAGGAUAAUAAAAUUUUAUNUGAAACCCUGCACUUACAAGCUGUGGAAGCACAUUUCUUGUGUGACCGCGUACUUUUUGUAGAACGGGCCAACGAGUUACGUUAAGUAGCAAGGUUAAGCACUUAAGGUGCGGAGCCGUAGCGAAAGCGAGUUUUAACUGAGCGUUCAGUUACUUGACGUAGACCCGAAACCGGGCGACCUACCCAUGAGCAGGAUGAAGCGAAAGUAAAAUUUCGUGGAGGUCCGAACCCACGAGCGUUGAAAAGCUCGGGGAUGACUUGUGGGUAGCGGUGAAAUUCCAAUCGAGCCCGGAGAUAGCUGGUUCUCCCCGAAAUAGCUUUAGGGCUAGCCUCAAGGUGAGAGAUACGGAGGUAGAGCACUGAAUGUCCUAGGGGGUAUUGCACCUACCGAAGACUAUCAAACUCCGAAUGCCGUCAUCUUAUACUUGGGAGUCAGACUGUGGGUGAUAAGAUUCAUAGUCGAAAGGGCAACAGCCCAGAUCGUCAGCUAAGGUCCCUAAAUGUAAGUUAAGUGGUAAAGGAUGUGGGAUUGCACAGACAACCAGGAUGUUGGCUUAGAAGCAGCCACUCAUUCAAAGAGUGCGUAAUAGCUCACUGGUCGAGUGAUCCUGCGCCGAAGAUUUCCGGGGCUAAAACUUACUACCGAAGCUACGGCAUCAGUAAUGAUGGGUAGGGGAGCUUCCCAUACGGGUUGAAGCAUGACCGUAAGGACAUGUGGACAGUAUGGGAGUGAGAAUGUUGGCAUGAGUAGCGAGAUGUGGGUGAGAAUCCCACAGGCCGUAAACCCAAGGUUUCCAGGGGAAGGUUCGUCCGCCCUGGGUUAGUCGGGACCUAAGCUGAGGCCGAAAGGCGUAGGUGAUGGACAACAGGUUGAUAUUCCUGUACUACCGAUAACCGUUUGAGAGAAGGGAUGACACAGUAGGAUAAGCUAAGCACACUGUUGGUUAUGUGUGCCCAAGCAUUGAGGCAGUCAAAGUAGGCAAAUCCGCUUUGAUAAUGCUGGGAUGUGAUGGGGAGCGAAAUUUAGUAGCGAAGUAGCUGAUUUCACACUGUCAAGAAAAGUCUCUAUCGAGGUUAAAGGUACCCGUACCGCAAACCGACACAGGUGGGUGAGGAGAGUAUCCUAAGGCCAGCGAGAGAACUGUUGUUAAGGAACUCGGCAAAAUGACCCCGUAACUUAGGGAUAAGGGGUGCCACCAUCAGGUGGCCGCAGAGAAUAGGCCCAAGCGACUGUUUACCAAAAACAUAGGUUUCUGCUAAGUCGCAAGACGAUGUAUAGGAGCUGACGCCUGCCCGGUGCUGGAAGGUUAAGGGGAUCUGUUAGAGCAAUCGAAGCAGUGAACUUAAGCCCCAGUAAACGGCGGCCGUAACUAUAACGGUCCUAAGGUAGCGAAAUUCCUUGUCGGGUAAGUUCCGACCCGCACGAAAGGCGUAACGAUUUGGGCACUGUCUCAACAACAGACUCGGUGAAAUUGUAAUUCCGGUGAAGAUGCCGGAUACCUGCGACAGGACGGAAAGACCCCAUGGAGCUUUACUGUAGCUUGACAUUGGGUCUUGGUACUACAUGUACAGGAUAGGUGGGAGGCUUUGAAACCAGGACGCCAGUUUUGGCGGAGCCAUCCUUGGGAUACCACCCUUGUAGUACUGGGACUCUAACCAUAGGCCAUGAAUCUGGUCUUGGGACACUGUCAGGUGGGCAGUUUGACUGGGGCGGUCGCCUCCCAAAAGGUAACGGAGGCGCUCAAAGGUUCUCUCAGUACGGUCGGAAAUCGUACGUAGAGUGUAAAGGCAAAAGAGAGCUUGAUUGCAAGACAUACAGGUCGAGCAAGGAUGAAAAUCGGACUUAGUGAUCCGGUGGUUCUGCGUGGAAGGGCCAUCGCUCAACGGAUAAAAGCUACCCUGGGGAUAACAGGCUUAUCUCCCCCAAGAGUCCACAUCGACGGGGAGGUUUGGCACCUCGAUGUCGGCUCAUCACAUCCUGGGGCUGUAGUAGGUCCCAAGGGUUGGGCUGUUCGCCCAUUAAAGUGGUACGCGAGCUGGGUUCAGAACGUCGUGAGACAGUUCGGUCCCUAUCCGUCGCAGGCGUAGGAAAUUUGAGAAGACCUGUCCUUAGUACGAGAGGACCGGGAUGGACGUACCUCUGGUGUACCAGUUGUCCUGCCAAGGGCAUGGCUGGGUAGCUAUGUACGGAAUGGAUAAGCGCUGAAAGCAUCUAAGCGCGAAGCCAACUUCAAGAUAAGAUUUCCCACCGCAAGGGUAAGACCCCAGAAAGACUAUCUGGUUGAUAGGUCGAAGGUGUAAGUGCAGUAAUGUAUUUAGCUUAUCGAUACUAAUAGGUCGAGGACUUGACCAA